GGAAUAUUGCACAAUGGGGGAAACCCUGAUGCAGCCAUGCCGCGUGUGUGAAGAAGGCCUUCGGGUUGUAAAGCACUUUCAGUAGGGAGGAAAGGGUGUAGUUUAAUACGCUAUAUCUGUGACGUUACCUACAGAAGAAGGACCGGCUAACUCCGUGCCAGCAGCCGCGGUAAUACGGAGGGUCCGAGCGUUAAUCGGAAUUACUGGGCGUAAAGCGUGCGCAGGCGGUUUGUUAAGCGAGAUGUGAAAGCCCUGGGCUCAACCUAGGAAUAGCAUUUCGAACUGGCGAACUAGAGUCUUGUAGAGGGGGGUAGAAUUCCAGGUGUAGCGGUGAAAUGCGUAGAGAUCUGGAGGAAUACCGGUGGCGAAGGCGGCCCCCUGGACAAAGACUGACGCUCAUGCACGAAAGCGUGGGGAGCAAACAGGAUUAGAUACCCUAG
rnacentral:rRNA from 1 species